rnacentral:lncRNA from 1 species
CCCACAAGCUCUUCUUCUGUCGGAUGAAAUCUGAAUCCCGGUGGCAUACUCGAUUGCAUUAUAUUAUCCAUCCAAGAUGAUCCUGUAAAUGGAUUUUAAUUCGGGAAGUUGUUAGAGAAAUUAGUAAGAAACGAAACGAGAGGAAAAUGGAAGAGAAGAGAAUAAUAUGAAGGAAAAUGAUUUGUAUAUAUAAAAACAUUAAGCAAGUCUUUUUGGAAGCUAUUGCGAAAACCUUAGACAAACAAGGCACAACCUUAAAGUUUUGUCUUUGGGACCAAAACCAAAGCCUAUUACAAGCUUCGUUAUAUUUAAAUUGUAAGAAAGGGAUCGGAUGGCUCUUGGGUCCAAUGAAAUUCCAAAAGCUGUGAUGUUGGGUAAUGAUAGUGAUGUAACACACGGACACACACGAUAAUAUAUUUAUAUACCUAUAAACAUAAAAACACACACACAUAUAUAUAUAUAUAUAUAUAUAUGAAUUCACAUGUAUAGUUUAGAUAUUUAUAUAUCUAAAAGCUUGGAUCUUUAAGCUUAAGGCUAUCGCUAUUAUAUGUAGCUGAUGAUGGUUAUGAUGUAUUUCCACGGGACCACCAAACAAUGGAGGAGCUCUUACUAUUUCACAAGAGAAAAUGAAUAACCAAAGCUUGGUAGUGGGUUAAACAAUACAAAGAAAGCUUGAUGGUGAAAGUUUUUAGAAUUUUUUUGUUUUUAAAAUACAUAAAACAUUAGGUUUAAAAUGUUUGUCUUUCGCCUUUUAAAUAUAGAAAAGAUUAAAUUUUUUUUGUAUAAUAUACAUUUAUGCAAGCACUGUAUAUAUUUUUAUAAGUAUACUUUAACCAAAAUAUAUAUAUUUAUAAGUUUAUAUGUAAGAUAAUUGUAUAUAAAGGAUCUACAUAUAUAGCCGAAAAGCUUGACGGGUGGAAGUCACUGAGGUUGAUGUUCCUUUGAGUGUAUUACACACUCUUGUCUUGAGUUAUAUUCCUAUACUAUCUUAUAUAAUAUACAAACUAUAAUGGUGCAACAACAAUAAUUAAUCUCGAAGAAACAAUAAUAUCUUUAGAAACACAUAGAUUUCGAAAUCCCCACCAUGAUUUCAGUUCCUCGGUUUACUCUAAUGUUUGUGGGUCAAUAUACACUAUUCAAGAUAUUAAACUUCUCAUACAGCCUACCCAUACACAAACGAUGAUCACAUAAACCAUAUGACAGAUCAAAAAAUGCAAAACAGAAACGCCGAAUGCAUCAUAAUGGUUCAUGCAUGUAGUAUAUGUAAAAGAAACUUACGAGCUAAUACAGAUAUUGGACGAGGUUUUCCGGAAACAAUACGUUACUUGCAAGAGAUAUGAAUCACACAAGGAUCACGAUCUAAAGAAAAGAGAAGCAAAAGGAAGAAGGGAGCUAGGAAGAUUGUAAACUCCGG